rnacentral:rRNA from 1 species
ACGGAGGAUGCAAGCGUUAUCCGGAUUUAUUGGGUUUAAAGGGUGCGCAGGCGGAUUAAUAAGUCAGGGGUGAAAUCCUUCGGCUCAACUGGAGUACUGCCUUUGAUACUGUCGGGCUUGAGUAUAAUUGACGUGGGUGGAAUGUGAGGUGUAGCGGUGAAAUGCUUAGAUAUGUCACAGAACGCCGAUGGCGAAGGCAGCUCACUAAAUUAUUACUGACGCUCAGGCACGAAAGCGUGGGGAUCAAACAG